GCGCCGGGCACCACCCGGCAAGGAUCCGGUCCCCCUCCUGAAACGGGUGUCGCAGGUUCGGAUCCUGCCGGGGCACCA
rnacentral:tRNA from 1 species